rnacentral:rRNA from 1 species
CUCCAGACUCCUACGGGAGGCAGCAGUGGGGAAUAUUGCACAAUGGGGGAAACCCUGAUGCAGCGACGCCGCGUGAGCGAUGAAGUAUUUCGGUAUGUAAAGCUCUAUCAGCAGGGAAGAAGAUGACGGUACCUGACUAAGAAGCCCCGGCUAACUACGUGCCAGCAGCCGCGGUAAUACGUAGGGGGCAAGCGUUAUCCGGAUUUACUGGGUGUAAAGGGAGCGUAGACGGCGAUGCAAGCCAGAUGUGAAAGCCCGGGGCUCAACCCCGGGACUGCAUUUGGAACUGUGUGGCUGGAGUGUCGGAGAGGCAGGCGGAAUUCCUAGUGUAGCGGUGAAAUGCGUAGAUAUUAGGAGGAACACCAGUGGCGAAGGCGGCCUGCUGGACGAUGACUGACGUUGAGGCUCGAAAGCGUGGGGAGCAAACAGGAUUAGAUACCCCUGUAA